rnacentral:rRNA from 1 species
AAAUUGAAGAGUUUGAUCAUGGCUCAGAUUGAACGCUGGCGGCAGGCCUAACACAUGCAAGUCGAGCGGUAGCACAGGAGAGCUUGCUCUCUGGGUGACGAGCGGCGGACGGGUGAGUAAUGUCUGGGAAACUGCCUGAUGGAGGGGGAUAACUACUGGAAACGGUAGCUAAUACCGCAUAACCUCGCAAGAGCAAAGAGGGGGACCUUCGGGCCUCUCGCCAUCAGAUGUGCCCAGAUGGGAUUAGCUAGUAGGUGAGGUAAUGGCUCACCUAGGCGACGAUCCCUAGCUGGUCUGAGAGGAUGACCAGCCACACUGGAACUGAGACACGGUCCAGACUCCUACGGGAGGCAGCAGUGGGGAAUAUUGCACAAUGGGCGCAAGCCUGAUGCAGCCAUGCCGCGUGUGUGAAGAAGGCCUUCGGGUUGUAAAGCACUUUCAGCGAGGAGGAAGGCGGUAAGGUUAAUAACCUUAUCGAUUGACGUUACUCGCAGAAGAAGCACCGGCUAACUCCGUGCCAGCAGCCGCGGUAAUACGGAGGGUGCAAGCGUUAAUCGGAAUGACUGGGCGUAAAGCGCACGCAGGCGGUCUGUUAAGUUGGAUGUGAAAUCCCCGGGCUUAACCUGGGAACUGCAUUCAAAACUGACAGGCUAGAGUCUUGUAGAGGGGGGUAGAAUUCCAGGUGUAGCGGUGAAAUGCGUAGAGAUCUGGAGGAAUACCGGUGGCGAAGGCGGCCCCCUGGACAAAGACUGACGCUCAGGUGCGAAAGCGUGGGGAGCAAACAGGAUUAGAUACCCUGGUAGUCCACGCUGUAAACGAUGUCGAUUUGGAGGUUGUGCCCUUGAGGCGUGGCUUCCGGAGCUAACGCGUUAAAUCGACCGCCUGGGGAGUACGGCCGCAAGGUUAAAACUCAAAUGAAUUGACGGGGGCCCGCACAAGCGGUGGAGCAUGUGGUUUAAUUCGAUGCAACGCGAAGAACCUUACCUACUCUUGACAUCCAGAGAAUUAGCUAGAGAUAGCUGAGUGCCUUCGGGAACUCUGAGACAGGUGCUGCAUGGCUGUCGUCAGCUCGUGUUGUGAAAUGUUGGGUUAAGUCCCGCAACGAGCGCAACCCUUAUCCUUUGUUGCCAGCGAUUCGGUCGGGAACUCAAAGGAGACUGCCGGUGAUAAACCGGAGGAAGGUGGGGAUGACGUCAAGUCAUCAUGGCCCUUACGAGUAGGGCUACACACGUGCUACAAUGGCGUAUACAAAGAGAAGCGACCUCGCGAGAGCAAGCGGACCUCAUAAAGUACGUCGUAGUCCGGAUUGGAGUCUGCAACUCGACUCCAUGAAGUCGGAAUCGCUAGUAAUCGUAGAUCAGAAUGCUACGGUGAAUACGUUCCCGGGCCUUGUACACACCGCCCGUCACACCAUGGGAGUGGGUUGCAAAAGAAGUAGGUAGCUUAACCUUCGGGAGGGCGCUUACCACUUUGUGAUUCAUGACUGGGGUGAAGUCGUAACAAGGUAACCGUAGGGGAACCUGCGGUUGGAUCACCUCCUUACCAAGAAG